CACUCCUGCGGGAGGCAGCAGUGGGGAAUAUUGCACAAUGGGCGCAAGCCUGAUGCAGCCAUGCCGCGUGUAUGAAGAAGGCCUUCGGGUUGUAAAGUACUUUCAGCGGGGAGGAAGGCGAUAAGGUUAAUAACCUUGUCGAUUGACGUUACCCGCAGAAGAAGCACCGGCUAACUCCGUGCCAGCAGCCGCGGUAAUACGGAGGGUGCAAGCGUUAAUCGGAAUUACUGGGCGUAAAGCGCACGCAGGCGGUCUGUCAAGUCGGAUGUGAAAACCCCGGGCUCAACCUGGGAACUGCAUUCGAAACUGGCAGGCUAGAGUCUUGUAGAGGGGGGUAGAAUUCCAGGUGUAGCGGUGAAAUGCGUAGAGAUCUGGAGGAAUACCGGUGGCGAAGGCGGCCCCCUGGACAAAGACUGACGCUCAGGUGCGAAAGCGUGGGGAGCAAACAGGAUUAGAUACCCCUGUAGUCCC
rnacentral:rRNA from 1 species